AUGGAGUAAAUAUGGCAAAGCGGGAAAGUGAUUGAGUUGUCUUCCCACAGUGCAGUGGCUGCAAACAGCUGCCUCCUUAGUAUGUACAGCCUGUUGCAUGUACGGGUUGCCCUAAGGGACCCUGGGAACAGCC